rnacentral:rRNA from 1 species
UACGGAGGGUGCGAGCGUUGUCCGGAAUCACUGGGCGUAAAGGGCGCGUAGGCGGUCACGCACGUCCGUUGUGAAAUCGCUCGGCUCAACUGGGCGGGGUCAGCGGAUACGGUGUGACUGGAGCAAGCUAGGGGGCAAUGGAAUUCCCGGUGUAGUGGUGGAAUGCGUAGAUAUCGGGAGGAACACCAGUGGCGAAGGCGGUUGCCUGGAGCUUUGCUGACGCUGAUGCGCGAAAGCGUGGGGAGCGAUCCGG